GCUGGUUUUAACGCGACCCGAACUCCUGCAUUGGUUAAAAUACUUUUUACUUUUUCCGAAACUCCGUUAACAUAAGGAAGGCAUGUCGAUCCACGAAUUUCAACGGAGUUUCGGAAAAAGUAAAAAGUAUUUUAACCAAUGCAGGAGUUCGGGUCGCGUUAAAACCAGU